GUUGAGCACAGUGGGUCUCCCUCAUAAUCCUAGCUACCAGGGAGGUUGAGCCUGGUGGAUCUUUUGAGUUUGAUUUUGAGCUGCAAUGAGAUAUGCUAAUUAGGCGUCUGAACUAGGAUUGGUAUUAAUUUGGUUAACCCCAGAAACAGGGACCACCAGGUUUUCUAAGGAAAAUUAAACUGGCCAAGGUGAGAAACAGAGCAAGUCAAAGUUUCCAUACCCAACAGUAGUCAAAUCAGGCCUAUGAGAGCCCCUGAACUUUAGAUUCAGCAAAAUAGAGAUUCAGUCAUU
rnacentral:SRP_RNA from 1 species